rnacentral:rRNA from 1 species
UCCGGAGGGUGCGAGCGUUGUCCGGAAUCACUGGGCGUAAAGGGCGCGUAGGCGGCCUGCUAAGUAGGGGGUGAAAUCCUGCGGCUUAACCGCAGGGCUGCCUUCUAAACUGUCAGGCUGGAGCACAGUAGAGGCAGGUGGAAUUCCCGGUGUAGCGGUGGAAUGCGUAGAGAUCGGGAAGAACAUCAGUGGCGAAGGCGGCCUGCUGGGCUGUUGCUGACGCUGAGGCGCGACAGCGUGGGGAGCAAACAGG